GUCUAUGGCCAUACCACCCUGAAUGCGCCCGAUCUCGACUGAUCUCGGAAGCUAAGCAGGGUCAGGCCUGGUUAGUACUUGGGUGGGAGAAACAGUGUGCCUUCUAAU
rnacentral:rRNA from 1 species